rnacentral:snRNA from 1 species
GUGCUCACUUUGGCAGCACAUAUACUAAAAUUGGAAUGAUACAGAGAAGAUUAGCAUGGCCCCUGUACAAGGAUGACAUGCAAAUUCGUGAAGCAUUCCAUAUUUUU